AAAAGAGGACUCCCCUGCUUACCUGAUUGUGUUUCUGCAGAAAUUUUUUAUAACUUGCAAUAGCAAUGCCAUGUUAUGUUGGGAUCAUUAAGGUCCCUGAAAGUGACUAUGAAA
rnacentral:snoRNA from 1 species